rnacentral:tRNA from 1 species
UUCUAUGUAGUAUAAAUAAUAUGUGUGCCUUCCAAGUACGAGAUCUGAAUAAUCAGCAUGGGGA